UAUAAAUGCUAAGCACUUACAACUGUUUGCAGAGGAAACUGAGGCUUUGUAGCUAUAUCUCAGUCUCAUCUGCAAAGAAGUAAGUGCUUUGCCAAGCCCCGGAGAGGGUAGG
rnacentral:miRNA from 1 species